rnacentral:rRNA from 1 species
GAACGCUAGCGGCAGGCCUAAUACAUGCAAGUCGGACGGGAUCUAGAUCUAAGCUUGCUUAGGUCUAGUGAGAGUGGCGCACGGGUGCGUAACGCGUGAGCAACCUACCCACAUCAGGGGGAUAGCCCGGAGAAAUCCGGAUUAACACCGCAUGACACAACGACUCGGCAUCGAGAUGUUGUUAAAUAUUUAUAGGAUAUGGAUGGGCUCGCGUGACAUUAGCUAGUUGGUAAGGUAACGGCUUACCAAGGCUACGAUGUCUAGGGGCUCUGAGAGGAGAAUCCCCCACACUGGUACUGAGACACGGACCAGACUCCUACGGGAGGCAGCAGUAAGGAAUAUUGGUCAAUGGAGGGAACUCUGAACCAGCCAUGCCGCGUGCAGGAUGACUGCCCUAUGGGUUGUAAACUGCUUUUGUCCAGGAAUAAACCUAAGUACGUGUACUUAGCUGAAUGUACUGGAAGAAUAAGGAUCGGCUAACUCCGUGCCAGCAGCCGCGGUAAUACGGAGGAUCCGAGCGUUAUCCGGAUUUAUUGGGUUUAAAGGGUGCGUAGGCGGCUUUAUAAGUCAGGGGUGAAAGACGGCAGCUCAACUGUCGCAGUGCCUUUGAUACUGUAGAGCUUGAAUGUGGUUGAAGAUGGCGGAAUGAGACAAGUAGCGGUGAAAUGCAUAGAUAUGUCUCAGAACUCCGAUUGCGAA